rnacentral:rRNA from 1 species
GACGAACGCUGGCGGCGUGCUUAACACAUGCAAGUCGAACGGAAAGGCCCUGCUUUUGUGGGGUGCUCGAGUGGCGAACGGGUGAGUAACACGUGAGUAACCUGCCCUUGACUUUGGGAUAACUUCAGGAAACUGGGGCUAAUACCGGAUAGGAGCUCCUGCUGCAUGGUGGGGGUUGGAAAGUUUCGGCGGUUGGGGAUGGACUCGCGGCUUAUCAGCUUGUUGGUGGGGUAGUGGCUUACCAAGGCUUUGACGGGUAGCCGGCCUGAGAGGGUGACCGGCCACAUUGGGACUGAAAUACGGCCCAGACUCCAACGGGAGGCAGCAGUGGGGAAUAUUGCACAAUGGGCGGAAGCCUGAUGCAGCAACGCCGCGUGCGGGAUGACGGCCUUCGGGUUGUAAACCGCUUUCGCCUGUGACGAAGCGUGAGUGACGGUAAUGGGUAAAGAAGCACCGGCUAACUACGUG